GACGAACGCUGGCGGCGUGCUUAACACAUGCAAGUCGAGCGGUAAGGCCCUUUCGGGGGUACACGAGCGGCGAACGGGUGAGUAACACGUGGGUGACCUGCCCUCAGCUCUGGGAUAAGCCUGGGAAACCGGGUCUAAUACUGGAUAUGACUCCAUGACGCAUGUUGUGGGGUGGAAAGCCUUGUGCGGCUGAGGAUGGGCCCGCGGCCUAUCAGCUUGUUGGUGGGGUGANGGCCUACCAAGGCGACGACGGGUA
rnacentral:rRNA from 1 species